CUUUCUUUCUUUCUUUCUUUUCCAGAGCCUUUUCACCCAUUUACCAUGAAGUCAGAGAGUAUUAACUGAUGUUCUUCUACAUGGAUGCAAAUCACUCUACAGCAUUUUUCUGGCCAACCUGCAUCUAAUGACCUCCAUAUAUUGGCAGCACUCAAUUGGCAGAUAAUUAGGGACAUCUUUACACUGGCCCUAUAUUAUCAGAUAAUCAAAGGGAUUCAGAAGAUUGGAACUACUGACAUGCUAAAACCUGGAUUCUCUUUCAAUAAUAAAAAGAACUAAAAUUUCUCUAUAGAGAGGGUAAGUAUUAAUUUUUACAGUCAACUCAGACAUUGCUUAUUUAUUCUAUUUCAUAUUUAUUUUAUUGAAAAGGUGUCGGAAGCAGGUAGAAAAAUUAUAAUUUUCUUUAAAUUAAGACCAUGCAAUAACACCAGAGUGGUACAUUUAUCAAUGUUGAACACAACAGUCAAUUGGUGAAUUUUUAUACACCAAAGGCAAUUAAACUCAGUAUUACUAUAUAAUGUCUUUUUCUUUUCUUUGGAUACUGGUUUAGUAGUACAGUUUUAUGUCUGGGAACUUACUUGAAUAGUAUGCAUCUGUACUGUUAUAUUACUUUGUAGAUUAUUGUAAAUAAUAAUUUACUGUUAUUUUAAAUAAAGGAACCAGUGCAAGCACCUGGUUAGUCAUUCUUUCCAGGAUCCCCUAGCUCUUAAAUUCAUAGAAAUUAGGCAUCUGGGGGGUUGGGUGGUGAGACCCUGUGUUAAGAGCA